rnacentral:lncRNA from 1 species
GUAGGGUCCCCCCUCCUUCUGCUCUGCUGGCGCUCGACCCAGAAGGCAGAGUCUCUCAAUCAAGCCAGAGCCCACCAUUUGGCUGGUAUUGCUUCUCAACUUAUUCUAGGAACCUCCCUAAGCACGGAUCUAUCUCUAUUUCCUGUUUCUUCUUGGUCUUUUUGAGCCUUAAUCAAUCACAGUGAGAGGCAUAUCUGUGAAGUGUGCAGCCAAGGUCCUUGGAAGGUCCUGGAGGCGAAGUUGGAGAGGAAGUACUGGCCUGAGGCCAAGGGCAGCAAAGAGUGAAAAGGGGCCGGGGACAGUGUACAGAGCAGUGGCUGGCUUGUCUCCACUAUCAGACUUUACUCCAGGAGGAGGCAGAGGCCGUGUGAGAGCCGUGCCGCUUCACCUGGCUCCUGACCUAUAUUGGAAGUGACAAACACGGGCUCCGAAAUGCUUACAAGGCACCUUGCCGGCAAGCACUGUGAAGUGAACAGAAAAUGAGACUAGAUGCUGAGCAAGUCCCACAAACUGUGUGCCCAAGCUCUGGACAGAGCAGAUAGACACAGUCUUCCUCUGAACUAUGCUUGCUGCAGUCCCUCCACCAGCAUGGAGAAGAAGCUCACAAGGACUGUCCUUCAAGCCUAUAUCCAUGCUCAGCUGUGCCAGCAUCUCUGGGCCUCAGGAACACCGAAGUCCUCAUUCUGAGCCAGGUAGGCCCACACAUGUCCCAGACGGUUACAUUCCUUCCUGGCUAGAGGCUUUUGUCACCCCAGGCUGUUGUGGGAAGUUGCCAUCAGGAGCAUCUAAAGACCUGUGACAGGAAAUUGGAGCUGCCAAUCUCUUAGCAAUCGGGGUACAGUUUUUUUCCUGCACUGCAUCUCAGGAAGUGAUGGAACACAAUAGAAAUUUCGCAUGCAUGCUAGCAUUGAAGCCUGACAAUGACCACAUUGUCCCCAUUCCACGUGGCAAAGAGAAUAAAAAGACCAGGAGAUGGCAGAAGGACCGAGGACCUGGGGAGAAGACAGGAGGAGACUGGGGAGGGGGGGAGGGGGAAGGAACUGCUGCCUCUUUCCCAUGGAGAGAGAAAUGCCACAGGAUCCGGGCACUCCCUACAUCUCUCCACCUUCCGCCACCCCGUGAGCCUCUGCAGGGAGAUUUUUCUGAAUAAUGGGCCAUUUUCCUGUUUUAAUCAGAUGCAAUUUUGCAAGCAGUUUUUAUGAUUUAGCAAGUCCAUUAAAACUGGCGUUUGUUCUGCUCUGACACUCGAAAGGGGCUCUGCAGAGCAUAAACAUUGGAAAUUACUUAUAGGGAGAGACAAUAUUAAAAUUCCCCAGCCCAAGCCUGUUGUCUGAGAGAUUCUGCUAUCAAGCAUCAUGCCAGCUAUCAUCAGAGGCACUGGAGAUAUAUACUGCCUCCUCUUUAUACACUGGCUGGGGGCUCAGCAACUCAGGCAGCAAUAAAGAGGCUGCUGCUUUCCUUCAACACUUUAGGCAUCCGGAGAGGAAUGGGUCUUAAAGGGAACUUGCGGGAAGAGCAGGUCGCAAGUACAGGCUGGAGAGGAGAAGGGCCAGUGAGCAUGCCUUUAAGAGCCACUGUGGAAACUGCUUUCCGGCCCACAGUGAACAAUAGGGUCUAUUGGUCCAUAAUUAAGGAGGUUGUUUUUUGUCAAUUUCAUUUGUAGUCAAUUCUCAAUUAUCCAUGUACUAACAGAUGACCUGUUCAAAUAAAAAAACCCUCCCAUUUCCGGCUCUCUGCUUUC